rnacentral:misc_RNA from 1 species
GAUGAAGAACGUAGCGAAAUGCGAUACGUAAUGUGAAUUGCAAAUUCAGUGAAUCAUCGAGUCUUUGAACGCACAUUGCGCCCCCUGGUAUUCCGGGGGGCAUGCCUGUCCGAGCGUCAUUGCUGCCCUCAAGCACGGCUUGUGUGUUGGGCCCCGUCCUCCGAUCCCGGGGGACGGGCCCGAAAGGCAGCGGCGGCACCGCGUCCGGUCCUCGAGCGUAUGGGGCUUUGUCACCCGCUCUGUAGGCCCGGCCGGCGCUUGCCGAUCAACCCAAAUUUUUAUCCAGGUUGACCUCGGAUCAGGUAGGGAUACCGCUGAACUUAAGCAUAUCAAUAAGCGGAGGA